UACGUAGGGGGCGAGCGUUGUCCGGAAUUAUUGGGCGUAAAGAGCGUGUAGGCGGUUCGGUAAGUCUGCCGUGAAAACCUGAGGCUCAACCUCGGGCGUGCGGUGGAUACUGCCGGGCUAGAGGACGGUGAGAGGCGAGUGGAAUUCCCGGUGUAGCGGUGAAAUGCGCAGAUAUCGUAAGGAAGACCAGUGGCGAAGGCGGGUCUCUGGACAGUUCCUGACGCUGAGGCACGAAGGUCAGGGGAGCAAACGGG
rnacentral:rRNA from 1 species